rnacentral:rRNA from 1 species
AGUCGAGCGAGCGGAACUAAAGAUUUACUUCGGUAAUGACGUUAGGAAAGCGAGCGGCGGAUGGGUGAGUAACACGUGGGGAACCUGCCCCAUAGUCUGGGAUACCACUUGGAAACAGGUGCUAAUACCGGAUAAGAAAGCAGAUCGCAUGAUCAGCUUUUAAAAGGCGGCGUAAGCUGUCGCUAUGGGAUGGCCCCGCGGUGCAUUAGCUAGUUGGUAAGGUAAAGGCUUACCAAGGCGAUGGUGCAUAGCCGAGUUGAGAGACUGAUCGGCCACAUUGGGACUGAGACACGGCCCAAACUCCUACGGGAGGCAGCAGUAGGGAAUCUUCCACAAUGGACGCAAGUCUGAUAGAGCAACGCCGCGUGAGUGAAGAAGGUUUUCGGAUCGUAAAGCUCUGUUGUUGGUGAAGAAGGAUAGAGGUAGUAACUGGCCUUUAUUUGACGGUAAUCAACCAGAAAGUCACGGCUAACUACGUGCCAGCAGCCGCGGUAAUACGUAGGUGGCAAGCGUUGUCCGGAUUUAUUGGGCGUAAAGCGAGCGCAGGCGGAAGAAUAAGUCUGAUGUGAAAGCCCUCGGCCUAACCGAGGAACUGCAUCGGAAACUGUUUUUCUUGAGUGCAGAAGAGGAGAGUGGAACUCCAUGUGUAGCGGUGGAAUGCGUAGAUAUAUGGAAGAACACCAGUGGCGAAGGCGGCUCUCUGGUCUGCAACUGACGCUGAGGCUCGAAAGCAUGGGUAGUGAACAGGAUUAGAUACCCUGGUAGUCCAUGCCGUAGACGAUGAGUGCUAAGUGUUGGGAGGUUUCCGCCUCUCAGUGCUGCAGCUAACGCAUUA